rnacentral:rRNA from 1 species
AUGGCAGAGAAGAGUGAUGUCUUCGUAGGAGGAGAGAUGGUACUGGUAGAGGCGACGCCGGCGGGGGAUCACCACGGCCACCAGCACAACCUUGGUACCACUGUUGUCGUUGUUGGCCCGUCAAGGGUUACUGAUGAUCACCUCAAGGUGGUGGGAGACACGGGCAAACAUGAGCAGCUGCUGGUGGAGCGCUUCGCGGUGGUGGAACCGCCCGUGGAAUCACAGGCUGCGGCGGAGCGGCAGGCCGACAUGGUGGCGCUCCUCGCCGGCUUCGCCCACCACCUCCAGGAGAGGACCGCCCACCACUUGGGGUACCCGUUUAACCUGGACUUCGACUUCAGUGCCCUCAACCAAUUCCAGAGCUUCUUCAUCAACAACGUGGGCGACCCUUUCAUCGGGAGCAACUACGGCGUGCACUCGAGGCUGUUUGAGGUGGCCGUGCUCGAUUGGUUUGCCCGCCUCUGGGACCUCCAGCAGGACAAAUACUGGGGAUACGUCACCAGCUGCAGUACCGAAGGGAACCUACACGGCCUACUAGUUGGGAGGGAGCUUUUUCGUGAUGGGAUUAGAUACGCGUCUCGUGAGUCGCACUACUCCAUCUUCAAGGCGGCUAGGAUGUACGGAGUUGAGUGCGUCAAGAUUGAUACUCUUGUUUCCGGAGAUAUGAACUGCACAGAUUUUAAGUCCAAGCUGCUGAAGAACAGCGGGAGACCUGCGAUUGUCAAUGUGAAUAUAGGUACGACCGUGAAGGGAGCCAUCGAUGAUCUUGACAGGAUCAUAAGAACACUUGAAAAAUGUGGGUUCCAAGAUCGAUUCUACAUCCAUUGCGAUGGAGCUCUAGCUGGCCUUAUGAUGCCAUUUAUCAAACAAGCACCAAAGGUGACGUUCACGAAACCUAUUGGAAGCGUGAGCAUCUCGGGCCACAAGUUCAUGGGAUGUCCAGUGCCAUGUGGUGUGGUAAUAACCAGGCUCGAGCAUGUAAAAGUGCUCUCCAUUGACAUUGAGUACAUAUCAUCUAGAGACGCAACAAUCAUGGGUAGCCGCAACGGGCACGCACCCUUGUUCUUGUGGUACAACCUGAAUAAGAAUGGUUACAGAGGCAUCCGCAAAGAAGUCGAGAAGUGCAUGAGAAAUGCUCAUCACCUUGUCAGCCGUCUUAGGGAGAAGGGGGUGAGUGCAUACCUAAACGAUCUAACCAACACGGUGGUGUUCGAGAGGCCACGGAAUGAGGCAUUCGUCCACAAGUGGCAACUCGCCUGCGAGAGGGGCAUUGCACACGUCGUGGUAAUGCCAAGUGUGAGGGUGGAGAAGCUCGACGUCUUCGUCGAAGAGCUUGCUGUCGGAAGAAGGAUGUGGCAUGAAGGCGGAGGGUUUAGCAUGUCGUGUGUUGCCGAGGACACCGGGGAAGGAAAUUGCCUCUGUGAUGUGCAUGCCAAGAAGUCAAUAGCUGCAUAA